rnacentral:rRNA from 1 species
GAUGAACGCUAGCGGCAGGCCUAACACAUGCAAGUCGAGGGGUAGAACACUUCGGUGUUUGAGACCGGCGCACGGGUGCGUAACGCGUAUGCAAUCUACCUUGUACAGGGGAAUAGCCCAGAGAAAUUUGGAUUAAUGCCCCAUAGUAUAUAACCUUCGCAUGUUGGUUAUAUUAAAGUUCCAACGGUACAAGAUGAGCAUGCGUCCCAUUAGUUAGUUGGUAAGGUAACGGCUUACCAAGACGAUGAUGGGUAGGGGUCCUGAGAGGGAGAUCCCCCACACUGGUACUGAGACACGGACCAGACUCCUACGGGAGGCAGCAGUGAGGAAUAUUGGUCAAUGGGCGCAAGCCUGAACCAGCCAUGCCGCGUGCAGGAAGACGGUCCUAUGGAUUGUAAACUGCUUUUAUACAGGAAGAAACAACUCUACGUGUAGAGUCUUGACGGUACUGUAGGAAUAAGGAUCGGCUAACUCCGUGCCAGCCGCCGCAGUAA